GACGAACGCUGGCGGCGUGCUUAACACAUGCAAGUCGAACGGAAAGGCCCUGCUUUUGUGGGGUGCUCGAGUGGCGAACGGGUGAGUAACACGUGAGUAACCUGCCCUUGACUUUGGGAUAACUUCAGGAAACUGGGGCUAAUACCGGAUAGGAGCUCCUGCUGCAUGGUGGGGGUUGGAAAGUUUCGGCGGUUGGGGAUGGACUCGCGGCUUAUCAGCUUGUUGGUGGGGUAGUGGCUUACCAAGGCUUUGACGGGUAGCCGGCCUGAGAGGGUGACCGGCCACAUUGGGACGGAGAUAGGCCCCAGACCCCGACGGGGGGCAGAAGGGGGGAAUUUUGCAAAAGGGGCGGAGGCUGGAGGCAGCCCCCCCGCGUGGGGGAGGACGGCUUUGGGGUUGAAAACCGCUUUCGCCUGUGACGAGGGGGGAGUGAGGGAAGGGGGAAAAGAAGCCCCGGCUAACUACGUG
rnacentral:rRNA from 1 species